AGUGAACGCUGGCGGUAGGCCUAACACAUGCAAGUCGAACGGCAGCACAGUAAGAGCUUGCUCUUACGGGUGGCGAGUGGCGGACGGGUGAGGAAUACAUCGGAAUCUACUUUUUCGUGGGGGAUAACGUAGGGAAACUUACGCUAAUACCGCAUACGACCUACGGGUGAAAGGAGGGGAUCUUCGGACCUUGCGCGAUUGAAUGAGCCGAUGUCGGAUUAGCUAGUUGGCGGGGUAAAGGCCCACCAAGGCGACGCUCCGCAGCUGGUCUGAGAGGAUGAUCAGCCACACUGGAACUGGGACACGGUCCAGACUCCGACGGGAGGCACCAGUGGGGAAAAUUGGGCAAUGGGCGCAAGCCUGAUCCAGCCAUACCGCGUGGGUGAAGAAGGCCUUCGGGUUGUAAAGCCCUUUUGUUGGGAAAGAAAAGCAGCAGGUUAAUACCCCGCUGUUCUGACGGUACCCAAAGAAUAAGCACCGGCUAACUUCGUG
rnacentral:rRNA from 1 species